rnacentral:rRNA from 1 species
GAUGAACGCUGGCGGCGUGCCUAAUACAUGCAAGUCGAGCGAACAGACGAGGAUCUUGCUCCUCUGACGUUAGCGGCGGACGGGUGAGUAACACGUGUAUAACCUACCUAUAAGACUGGUAUAACUUCGGGAAACCGGAGCUAAUACGGUAUAAUAUAUUGAACCGCAUGGGUGAAUAGUAAAAUACGGUGUUGCUGUCUCGUAUAGAGGGAUCCGCGCCGCAUUGGCUAGUUGGUAAGGUCACGGCUUAUCAAGGCAACGAUGCGUAGCCGACCGCAAGGGGUGAUCGGCGACCCUGGAACUGGGACACCGUCAAGACUCCUGCGGUAGGCAGCAGUAGGGAACCUUCCGCAAUGGGCGAAAACAUGACGGAGCAACGCCGCGUGAGUGAUGAAGGUCUUCGGAUCGUAAAACUCUGUUAUUAGGGAAGAACAAAUGUGUACGUAGCUAUGCACGUCUUGACGGUACCUAGUCAGAAAGCCACGGCUAACUACGUG